GGCCCAAUGGUCUAGAAGUAUGAUACUGCCUUCGGGUUUCCCGCUUACACGACGUGAGCGUACUUGGGAGUGGCCCCGGGUUCAAUUCCCGGUUGGGCCC